rnacentral:misc_RNA from 1 species
UGUGGGAGCGAGCCUGCUCGCGAUGGCGGUGGGUCAGCUUGCAUUGAUGUCGAAUAUCAAACCGCUAUCGCGAGCAGGCUCGCUCCCACA